AACAAGGUUUCCGUAGGUGAACCUGCGGAAGGAUCAUUACAAUUCAGUAGCUUGCUACUGUCGGGAGGCGCCGUAAGCCCGCAUAGUUUAAUUACUGAUGAGCGGCAGGCCCUCUGUCUGGACCCUUGUCUUUUGCGCACUCAUGUUUCCUCGGCGGGCUUGCCCGCCGGUUGGACAAAAGCAUAACCUUUUUAAUUUUCAAUCAGCGUCUGAAAAAACAUAAUAAUUACAACUUUCAACAACGGAUCUCUUGGUUCUGGCAUCGAUGAAGAACGCAGCGAAAUGCGAUAAGUAGUGUGAAUUGCAGAAUUCAGUGAAUCAUCGAAUCUUUGAACGCACAUUGCGCCCCUUGGUAUUCCAUGGGGCAUGCCUGUUCGAGCGUCAUUUGUACCCUCAAGCUCUGCUUGGUGUUGGGUGUUUGUCCUCUCCUCUGCGUUUGGACUCGCCUUAAAGCAAUUGGCAGCCAGUGUUUUGGUAUUGAAGCGCAGCACAUUUUGCGAUUCUAGCCGAUCACACUGGCGUCCAUAAGCCUUUUUUUAACUUUUGACCUCGGAUCAGGUAGGGAUACCCGCUGAACUUAAGCAUAUCAAUAAGCGGAGGA
rnacentral:rRNA from 1 species